rnacentral:rRNA from 1 species
AGGAAGGCAGCAGGCACGCAAAUUACCCAAUGAUCGAAGAUCGAGGUAGUGACGAAAAAUAACAAUACAAGACUCUUCCGAGGCCUUGUAAUUGGAAUGAGUACACUUUAAAACCGUUCCCGAGGAUCUAUUGGAGGGCAAGUCUGGUGCCAGCAGCCGCGGUAAUUCCAGCUCCAAUAGCGUAUAUUAAAGUUGUUGUGGUUAAAAAGCUCGUAGUUGGAUUUCGGCGGGUAUUGGUCGGUUUGAAUUGCUUCAAUACUGACUUUUUUACCCGUGUGUUUUGCCAGAAUUUAACAGGUGAUCUUCGCCGAUUGUCCGUUAGAACUGGCAGGUUUACUUUGAAAAAAUUAGAGUGCUCAAAGCAAGCUUGAUUGCUUGAAUAUUCGUGCAUGGAAUAAUAGAAUAGGAAGUCGUUUCUAUUUUGUUGGUUUUCGGAAAUCGACUUAAUGAUUAAUAGGGAUAGUCGGGGGCAUUUGUAUUCAAACGACAGAGGUGAAAUUCUUGGACCGUUUGAAGACAAACUACUGCGAAAGCAUUUGCCAAGAAUGUUUUCAUUAAUCAAGAACGAAAGUUAGAGGUUCGAAGGCGAUUAGAUACCGCCCUAGUUCUAACCAUAAACGAUGCCAGCUAGCGAUCUGCCGGCGUUUUAUUUUCUGACUUGGCAGGGAGCUUCCGGGAAACCAAAGCUUGUGGGUUCCAGGGGAAGUAUGGUUGCAAAGCUGAAACUUAAAAGAAUUGACGGAAGGGCACCACCAGGAGUGGAGCCUGUGGCUUAAUUUGACUCAACACGGGAAAUCUCACCAGGCCCAGACACCAGGAGGAUUGACAGAUUGAUAGCUCUUUCUUGAUUUGGUGGGUGGUGGUGCAUGGCCGUUCUUAGUUGGUGGAGUGAUUUGUCUGGUUAAUUCCGAUAACGAACGAGACUCUGUCCUGCUAAAUAGAUUCAGCCUUUCUAUUGGGU